UGUUAUUUAACAUUUUUUCUUUGCAGUUUUCAUAGCAAAAUUUGUUUGGAAAAUAACCUUCAUUAUUAGCUGUACUUAAAAAGUUGUGAUUCACAUGUUUCCAGAUUGUUAUCAGUAUUUUCAUUUUGUAGGGAGGUCAAAACCAAACUGCCUGUCAUAUUGGUGUCAAUGACGUCGGAAUACACAUUAUCAACUCACAGACAGGGGUUAUGCUGCACAGCUUCAAAUAUUCUGAGAUAAAAUGGAAACAUGAGGAUGGAAACUCGUUGGAAAUCGUAGUGGUUAGAUUGGAACCAAAUGUUGAUAAAAAUAUCACCCGUGAAGUGAAGCUGCGGACAAAACAGGCAGGUUUAAUUCUCAACCUGAUGGAAAAACUCAAACAAAUGCAUGCCUUUAAGGAUCGGUCUGUAAACCUUGUGUAUAGUCGAAUGUCUACUGUGACAUAAACUAGGCCUGUUUGCGACAGAGCAGUGGGGAAGUGACAUUAAUCUACACUCGUUUCAUUAACAACAAAAAUAAGAAGUUAUCCAUGAAAAGAAGUGUCUUUAAUGACAGAAGCCGAAGAAGAGGUUACAGAGUUUCCAUGCCUUUCAUACUUGCCAUCAUUUCAGUGUUCAGCUGGUCCAGAUGACCAUUGGUCUGGCCCUGCCCUUUGUGAUACAGUCAAGGGCCAUAGCAUUGAAACAGUUGAGAUCCCUUUUUAAACCAAAAUAAUGUUUCUUUGGGAUGAAGAGAAGAACAGGAUCACGCUACCAAUGUAAGCUCAGGGGGUCUGGCCCUGCCCCGGAGAAUUAGCCCGUGGGACAUAGAAAUAAUUGAAAUCCUCUCUCUCAUAAGAACAGAUCUACCAUAUUUCCUAUGAAGCAUCUUUUGUCCCUGUAGCUCCCCAGGGGGUUGGUCACUAAACAUGGUAUUUGAGAGUUUAAGUAUUUGGAAGCCUACUCGUCGUCAACUGUUGCUCAUAUUUGGUAUCCUUGAAACCAAGGAAUCAAAUAUUUAAUAAAGGAGAGGUGUUGCUAGGAGACUGAUACAAAAGUUGGGAAUAUCGGCAGAACAUUUCAUGAGAAUACAUUUUUAUUUUGCUAUGAUCGCUUAAAUAUCCAAAUGACCGAUACAGGCCUCAUUUUUAAUGGGAAGAAACUGCCUGGUAAAAUCUCAAAUUAUCUCGGUAGAACUAUAGGAUCCCUAUUUGAUGAAGUAAUAGUGUGAAAUGUCAUAUUUUAAACUGUCCCAUGAAAUCAAUUCAUUGAGUUUUAAAAGGAAAUAACGACUAGGAGGAAUUUUCCCCUUAGAACACGAUUGCCCCAACAAACAGUGACUUGACCACUGCUCAGCUAAGGUGAGGGUUGGCUUGGGACGGGGCUCAUCACUUGUCUACUCAGCUCAGGUGAGGGUUGGCUGGUGUUUGGGCUCAUCACUUGUCUACUCAGCUCAGGUGAGGGUUUGCUGGGGUGUGGACUCAUCACUUGUCUACUCAGCUCGGGUGAGGGUUGGCUGGAGUUGGGGCUCCUCAAAGGUCUACUCACCUCAGGUAAGGGGUUAUUGGGGUGGGGAGUCCUAACGUGUCUAUUCAGCUCAGAUGAGGAUUGGCUGGAGUGAGGGCUCCCCACUUGUCUACUCAGCUCAGGUGAGGGUUGGCUGGGGUGGGGGCUCCUUACUUGUCUACUCAGCUCAGGUGAGGGUUGGCUGGUGUGUGGGCUCAUCACUUGUCUAUUCAGCUCAGGUAAGUGGUUAUUGGGGUGGGGGGUCCUAACUUGUUUAUUCAGCUUAGAUGAGGAUUGGCUGGGGUGAGGGCUCCCCACUUGUCUACUCAGCUCAGGUGAGGGUUGGCUGGUGUGUGGGCUUGUCACUUGUCUACUCAGCUCAGGUGAGGGUUGGCUGGUGUGUGGGCUCAUCACUUGUCUACUCAGCUCAGGUAAGGGGUUAUUGCGGUGGGGGGUUCUAACUUGUCUACUCAGCUCAGGUGAGGGUUGGCUGGGGUGAGGGCUCCCCACUUGUCUACUCAGCUCAGGUGAGGGUUGGCUGGUGUGAGGGCUCCCCACUUGUCUACUCAGCUCAGGUGAGGAUUGGCUGGGGUGAGAGCUCCCCACUUGUCUACUCAGCUCAGGUGAGGGUUGGCUGGGGUGGGGGCUCCUCAUUUGUCUACUCAGCUCAGGUGAGCAUUUAAAAAUACAUGUAAUGUUAUAUGAAAAAUGUACUUAAGUUUUUAACUCUUUGAUAUUUAAAAAAAAAAUGUAUGCAGUAUUGGCUGAAAAGAUGUACACUGAAGCAGAAAUGUAUGACAAAAUUGCCAGUCUCUUCUUGAAUUCGUUGUCUUUUGUGAGAGGGAAAAGAACAAAAGUAACUACAGAGUAAAAGGUUUCCUGUUUGACCUAUACUGGAUCCCUACUGUGCAGGGCCUGUAAUCAAACUUUAGCUUCAUGACACUUGAGUUCGAUAAAACCAUUACUUUUUCUGUACUAUUGAAAUUACAACUCAAAUUCUGGGAUUUAAAGUUAUCACAACUAGAAAUUGACUUAAAUAAGAUUUGUUAUUGGGUUAAAACUUUAAAAAAAUUGAACUCAAUGUAUGUUUAAGGUAAUUAAGGUCAAUAUCAAUGUAUCCCGAUACUUACCUGUGUAAGCUGUUCUUAUCAUGAUGGUUGUCCUAAUUCUUGGGUUAGAUUAACACUUUAGGAUGUGCAACCUAACGAGAGUAUGUGAACUAGUAAGUAAUACUUCAUCUCAUCAUUAACACUAACUUAUUUACAUCACUUGGUAUCAUAACAUGUGGAGGAUUUUAGUUUUUAGUGAGAAAUGCUGAAAAUAUUUUAUUUGUUACAGCUGACCUAUUUAUCUGUGAUAUGAUCAUUGUAAGGCACGUUCAAAUUUGUACUUUUAUGUCAUAGAAACUGUUAAUGUUUAUGAAAAUGAGUUUAAACCAUGUUGCUUGAUACCAAUAGGUCAAAUACAUGAAGUAUGCUCUUCUGUGCAUGGUUUCUGUGCAACCUACAUACAAAUUAUAAUAACAUGCUCAUAUUUUAACCAUUUUUCAUGAUCUUGAUGCCAUCAUCGAAAUACAUCAUACGGUGCUCAUAACCAUUGGCCCAAACACGUAUCAUGUUUGUGCCUAAUUAUAGACAUAGGUUUUGUUGAUGAAAUGCUGGGGUUUUCAACUGGUAAUAUAAUUAUGCAAAUAUCUCAUGAAUGCACUGAUCAUACUUAUUAUUUAUUACUGGAUUUCUCCAAGAAGCAGAUAUGUUUCUGUCCAAUUUUUCUACAUUUAUACACAUUUUUACUUGUUUUCCCUCUUGGUUGUGCUAUAACAGUUUGAGAUUUGUUGUUAUAAUAACCUUACUAUAAACAUGACUGAGUAUUGACUGUCACUGUACAGACCUGUAUGUAUAGUACAGUGGAUGUGUUCCUAUACAGAUUUCAUUGUUUAAUGCCAUAGAUUAGGACUUCUCUGUGGUUCUACUGUAAAUUGACAUGGUGCAAGGUCUGUCAUCCAUCAACCAUUUCCUGUCCCCUAUGUCAAACCUCAUAACUCCUCUGAGUAACUGAUCAGAUUUCAAUCAAAUGUGCUGUGGUGCAUCUUAGGGACUGGGAAAUCCAACACUGUAUAAAGAAAGGGUGUAGUAUAUAUGGGAGCUUAGAAGCCUGGCCAAAUAGGGGAUAUGGAUGGCCUUUAGGAGACUAAUUCUCCUACAUAACAUCAGUAGAACAAGGAAAUGAAAUGUUGUUAUAUGUAUAAAUGGAAGAGUGUAGCACUCUUUGGGGGCUUAAGUUGAGAUAACACAAAAGACAGGUGAACGAAGCUGGCCCGUAGGCUUCUUGUGUUGAACAGAUUUACAUCCACAUUCAAUGUUUAAUGUUCACAACAUAAGAACCAAGUCAGUGCUCAAAUAUUAACACAAAAAGUACGCCAAGUACUCCUCAAAAAGUAAUGUAAGCAACAGCAACUUAAGCACUGAUAUAUACCUAGGUGUUUUAGAACACAGAACUCCUUCGAGUUUUAGAGACACAGUAGUAAAAAGAACUAGUUGGUUAAGGGUGUAUUGUUCCAUUCAUUAUCACUAUCAUCACUGUUUAGAGUUAUGUCCCUUAUGUUAGCAUUUAUACACAUAUUGAAAAUUUGUCCAAUUUGUCAUCCAAUCUGACACCUGUAAAUGUUGAUAAUACUGAUUGUCAUGCUAGUUGUGAUUUGUUUAUGGUUACACUGUGUAAUGGUGGUAAUCAUGAAGUUGUUGAUUCAUUUAAUGUUAUUUGAUAAGUAUGUGAUUUCAACUGCUGAAAUAAAAAUAAACUAUUUUUAU